UACGUAGGGUGCGAGCGUUAAUCGGAAUUACUGGGCGUAAAGAGCGCGUAGGCGGCCUUCUAAGUCGAACGUGAAAUCCCCGGGCUCAACCCGGGAACUGCGUCCGAUACUGGAAGGCUUGAAUCCGGGAGAGGGAUGUGGAAUUCCAGGUGUAGCGGUGAAAUGCGUAGAUAUCUGGAGGAACACCGGUGGCGAAGGCGACAUCCUGGACCGGUAUUGACGCUGAGGCGCGAAAGCCAGGGGAGCAAACGGG
rnacentral:rRNA from 1 species